UCGGAUCGCAGGCUGCAACCCGCCUGCGUGAAGUUGGAAUCGCUAGUAAUCGCGGAUCAGCAUGCCGCGGUGAAUACGUUCCCGGGCCUUGUACACACCGCCCGUCACACCAUGAGAGUCGGGAACACCCGAAGUCCGUAGCCUAACUUUAACGAGGGGGCGCGGCCGAAGGUGGGUUCGAUAAUUGGGGUGAAGUCGUAACAAGGUAAC
rnacentral:rRNA from 1 species